GUGGGGAAUUUUGGACAAUGGGGGAAACCCUGAUCCAGCAAUGCCGCGUGUGUGAAGAAGGCCUUCGGGUUGUAAAGCACUUUUGUCAGGAACGAAACGGUGAGGGCUAAUAUCCCUUGCUAAUGACGGUACCUGAAGAAUAAGCACCGGCUAACUACGUGCCAGCAGCCGCGGUAAUACGUAGGGUGCGAGCGUUAAUCGGAAUUACUGGGCGUAAAGCGUGCGCAGGCGGUUUCGUAAGACAGAUGUGAAAUCGCCGGGCUCAACCUGGGAAUGGCGCUUGUGACUGCAAAGCUGGAGUGCGGCAGAGGGGGAUGGAAUUCCGCGUAUAGCAGUGAAAUGCGUAGAGAUGUGGAGGAACACCGAUGGCGAAGGCAGCCCCCUGGGCCGAUACUGACGCUCAUGCACGAAAGCGUGGGGAGCAAACAGGAUUAGAUACCCUGGUAGUCC
rnacentral:rRNA from 1 species